GAAACGAGAGGGAGAAAUGGGCAAAUGUAGAUAAAUGGUCAUUCUGCCCUCAAAUGUCUUAAAUGUCUCAUUCAACAAAUAUUUAUUGAGCAUCUACUAGGUGCCAGGCACUCUUCUAAGUCUUGGGGGUACACUGCUGAGUAACACAGACAAACAGCCUGCCCUCGUGGAGCUUACAGUCUGGUGAGGGAAGACAGAUGGUGCCCUGCUGGACCUGAGGCCAUACUGGAGACCGAGGCAAAAGGAGGAAUCAGUAACACUGAUCCUACCUUUGUUUAAAAAUUUGAUAUUUUGCCCAUUAUUGAUUUUCUUUUUGCCCUUUGAUUUUUAAAAAUAUUGCAACAAAAUAUUUAUCUUGAUUAUUUACGUUUUUGGUGUCCUCUCAAAUUUUGUGCUCAAGGCAAAUCUCACUCCCCUCCUCCUAGUCCCAGCCAUGAGAAGGAUGCUGAUAGAUGCAUGGUAGGGUCUGAAGUGUACCCCCCAUAUUUCCCUUCAAACGCAUGUGCCCGUCUUCCCCACUGCUGAGAGUGCUCACAGCUCACAGCUCACAGCGGCAUCUCCACUCCCAGAGAUUGCCCUUGGCUGCCCAGAGCCCUAGCCCAAGGUCAUGCCUUCUCCCCAGAGACAGCCGACAUCCAAUGAUUGAUCAAUGUGGAGAGAGAAGAUUCCAGAACAGCAGAGGCCAGAUGACAAUGCUUAUCUGUCAGAAGCAAGGUGGGAGCAAAUACUGCACUGAGCAGCAAGGUCAGAGCAGCAGGAGGGAGACUGAGGCACAGAGAGCUAUGGAAGCGGCUGGAGUCCCUGGAUGCAAGAUCAAUCUAUACCAGUGGCUCUUGAAGUGUGGUCCCCUGACCAGCAGCAUAAGCAGCACCCGGAAAAUUGUUAGAAACACCCAUUCUCAGGCCCCAGCCCAGACUUCCUCAACCAGAAACUCUAGGGGUGGGGCCCAGCAAUCUGUGUUUGAACAAGGCCUCCAGGCGACUCUGAUGCACUAAUCUGUACUGUCAAAAGGAAGGAUGAUGAGGAGGCUAAGGGCAGCUGUGCCAUUAAAAAGUCGGAAUUCUUUGACCACUUCUGGACCUGAACCAAAUUUCGGACUCAGAGCUCACUGACUGAAGGAAAGGCCAGAUCCUCAGGAAGGAGUACCCUGCAACACCUUGGCAAGUCUCCAUGACAAUGAUUUCCCCAAUCCUUCCCCAAAGGGACUGACAGAUACUUACCUGGGGAAAAGAAAUAGCCCAAUAUUUUGAGAUGUUGGACAUAACAUCUGAGUUAACAAUGAUACCCAGCAAGACACAAAACAUGGUCCCUCUGGUAGAGUGGGUGUGUAUGGGCUCCUGGCCCAAGUCCACUUCACCGUGGGUCUAGUUGGUCCAGGGACCAGCCCAGUGGUUAUGUCCCCGGUCCUUGAAUGCAUAACUGAAAUAGUCGAUACUUGCAAGCUGGCAGAGUACCCAUAUGCUCACAUUGGUUCCUUGGCCUGUGAAUUAAAGCUAUCAUGGUGGGAAGGACAAGUGUGAGCCUCUGAAGCUGCCCCUACACCCCUCCUCUGGGCAAAUUACACACAUCCCGGGGCAAAUAGCAGAAAUUAAUGCUACCCUUAAAGACCUAAAGGAAGGAGAGUGGUGAUCCCCAUCAAACCUCCAUUUAAUUCAUCAGCCUGGCCCCCACAAAAACUGGACAGAUCCUGGAAGAUGUCAGCAGAGUGCUCCAAGCCCCAUCAACUAGCAGAGAUAACUGCUGCUGUUGUGCCAGAUGUGGUAUUAGCCACAGCCCCCACCACAGCAGCUGAUCUGGAGGCAGCAACUGAUACUUACGGUUUCUCUCUUCUACUACUCAUUCUAUAUUUCCCUCAUUCUUAGUUAGUUCCGGUGACAGACAAUAAAAUAAAGGAGUAAAUUUUAUAGUACGUUGGAUGAUGAAAAUGCUAGGGAAAAAUUGGGUAAGGGGAAAAAUGUUCUGCUAUUUCGAAUAGGUUAGGGUAGGCUUCUCUGACAGGUGACAUUUGAGCAAAAUCUUGAAGAAGGUGAGGGAGUGAUCACCUUCAGAAGAAGAACACUUCAUAUGGAUGGAACAGCAAGUGAAAAGGCCCUGAGGCGGGAUCAUGUCUGGAGACUUACAGGAACAGCCAGGAUCACUCCGAUUCCUGUGCUGAGAAUAGCCCACAGAGAGGCAAGGAGGGCAACAAGGCAAGAGAGAACAAUGGCUUGGCCCAGCGUGAGGGCACAAAUGUGAUGGGAUAAAUACCAGGAUGUCUGUAGGCUGGUGGAAAGGGUACAGUGGAGAGGGGUCAAUGGAUAAAGCAGCGAGGGGAGAACUGCUGGAGCCGGCAAGAGGGGAUGGGAUCCAGCACACAGAGGACGGGUUUUCUUCGAUAGCAGCACAGAUGGUCCAUCUGCGGUAUUGGCGAGAAGGCAGGACCCGCGGUGCAGGUCCUGGCAGAGCCUCACGUAUGGUGGGAAGUGGACCAGGAGCUUGGCAAAGUGGGGAGUUUCUGGAGGUAAUACUUUUCUCUCAUUUUGUGAAGUAAUAUAUUAAGGUAACUUCGGUCAAGUUAUUUAGUUAUCUCUAAGCUGCAGUUACCUAAAUUUGUAAAAUGAGGAUAAUACCACUAUAGUAUAGAUUGUGGGGAGGAUUAAAUGAAUUAACACUAGAAAAAUGCGUAAAGAAUAAUUAGCACAUAGUAAGCAAUCUAAGUAGAUAACUUCUACCUUUUAUUGAUAGAUAUUACUUUUAAUGGAGCACUAAAAAGUGAGGGAAGGAUUUGGGAAGUAUUUGUCCAGAACCUAAUCUUUUUUUUUUGAGGAAGAUUAGCCCUGAGCUAACAGCUGCUGCCAAUCCUCCUCUUUUUGCUGAG